AUUGAGAGCUUGCUCUCAUGAGAGUGGCGCACGGGUGAGUAACGCGUAUGCAACCUGCCUGUAACAGGGGGAUAGCCCAUAGAAAUGUGGAUUAAUACCCCAUAGUCCUGGAAAGUCGCAUGGCUUACCAGGUAAAACUCCGGUGGUUACAGAUGGGCAUGCGUGACAUUAGCUAGUUGGUGAGGUAACGGCUCACCAAGGCAACGAUGUCUAGGGGUUCUGAGAGGAUGAUCCCCCACACUGGUACUGAGACACGGACCAGACUCCUACGGGAGGCAGCAGUGAGGAAUAUUGGUCAAUGGGCGCAAGCCUGAACCAGCCAUCCCGCGUGAAGGAUGUCGGCCCUAUGGGUUGUAAACUUCUUUUAUACAGGAAGAAAAAUCUCUACGUGUAGGGACUUGCCGGUACUGUAUGAAUAAGCAUCGGCUAACUCCGUGCCAGCAGCCGCGGUAAUACGGAGGAUGCAAGCGUUAUCCGGAUUCAUUGGGUUUAAAGGGUGCGUAGGCGGCUCUUUAAGUCAGUGGUGAAAUCCUGUCGCUCAACGAUAGAACUGCCAUUGAUACUGAAGAGCUUGAGUACAGUUGAGGUAAGCGGAAUGUGUAGUGUAGCGGUGAAAUGCUUAGAUAUUACACAGAACACCGAUUGCGAAGGCAGCUUACUAAACUGCAACUGACGCUGAUGCACGAAAGCGUGGGGAUCGAACAGGAUUAGAUACCCUGGUAGUCCACGCUGUAAACGAUGCUCACUCGCUGUAUGCGAUAUACCGUAUGCGGCCAAGCGAAAGCAUUAAGUGAGCCACCUGGGGAGUACGAUCGCAAGGUU
rnacentral:rRNA from 1 species